rnacentral:rRNA from 1 species
GACGUCAAGUCAUCAUGGCCCUUACGACCAGGGCUACACACGUGCUACAAUGGCGCAUACAAAGAGAAGCGACCUCGUGAGAGCAAGCGGACCUCAUAAAGUGCGUCGUAGUCCGGAUUGGAGUCUGCAACUCGACUCCAUGAAGUCGGAAUCGCUAGUAAUCGUGGAUCAGAAUGCCACGGUGAAUACGUUCCCGGGCCUUGUACACACCGCCCGUCACACCAUGGGAGUGGGUUGCAAAAGAAGUAGGUAGCUUAACCUUCGGGAGGGCGCUUACCACUUUGUGAUUCAUGACUGGGGUGAAGUCGUAACAAGGUAACCGUAGGGGAACCUGCGGUUGGAUCACCUCCUUACCUUAAAGAAGC